rnacentral:rRNA from 1 species
UAAUACCUGCCCAAUGAGAAAUUUAAUGGCCGCGGUACCUUGACCGUGCUAAGGUAGCAUAAUCAAUUGACUUUUAAAUGAAGUCUGGAAUGAAAGGGAGAACGGAAUUUAGCUGUCUUGAUUUUUUUAAAUCGAAUUUACUAACUAAGUGAAAAGGCUUAGGUAAGAUAAAAGACGAGAAGACCCUAAGAGUUUAAGUAAUUUUGUUGGGGCGACACAGGGUCAUACUAAACACCCUGAAUUAUAGGACGGUUAUAUCAUGUUAAGAUAAACUACCUUAGGGAUAACAGCAUAANUCUAUUUGAGUUUGUGACCUCGAUGUUGGACUAGGAAGCCUUUAGGCUAGCNNCCUAAUAGGGGGAUUC